AUGCUAACAGAUAACUGGCAUCUGUGUUUAUUUGAUGUGUUUCAGGAUAUGGAUUCCAACCCAAGCGGUGCUCAUUUAUCUGAGCACACACUUAGCCAUAAUGGACGCAGUGAGGCCUCAAACCAUGAAUCCCCCUCUGCCAGUCCUGAAAGUCCAUCCUCCACCCCUCUCCUCACAUUUUCACAUUCAAACCAGACUCUGACAACUCCAGCUCACAUAGACGCUGACUCAAACGUCAUGUCUUUUCUAGAAACUCCACCCAGCAGCGAUUCCAAGCCUCCUGAUCCAGCUCCUCAGGAUGUGCUGCAAUCAAAGGCCGCUGACUCCUCCUCAGACCAACCCUCUCUUUUUUGGAGGAUGCUUGGACUCCACACCACUAUCCUCAACAGGAGUCCAGAAGCAUCUGGGCCCACUCUGAACCUCCGGCGUUCUGGUUCCUGCUUUCCUCUGUUUGGUGGAGGAGGCCUGUGACGACACCUUCUCAGAUAUUGGAAAACAAGUUUUUUUGUUACAUUGUUUUGCUCUUUAAAUUGUUUCAAUUCCUGUCCUUAAAAAUGUUUAUAUAACAAGAAUGUUAGUAUCAGGAGGAUUUUGUUUACAAAAAAAAGUUAAUAUUUGUUUAACUUAUUGUACAUUUAUGUCAUUUGAAGCAAUGUUCAACAGAUGAAAGCUAGAAAAUACAAUGAAAGUAUGUUUUCUGUUCUUUUUAGAAGGAUUUCUAUUUUAAUUUAAUUUAAACCCUUAAAGAUAAAUAUGGGAUACGUUUUUUAAGAACGACUUUUGAAAAAAAUAAAAAGUUACGGUUCAUUCUGUUGGUGUUGGAAAACUUUAUUGGGACAGCUUUUACCAUACAAUCACAAUAAACAAUAUUAAUGAUAUUACCUUAAAGAUAGAUUUCUGAUUGAACACAACCACAUAUAUGCAGACAGUCCAGCGCUGCAAUGGACAAACGCUAGCGGCACCAGAAGCUUUUUUAUUCUGUUUGCAUGGCUGCAAGAGGGUGACGCUUGCAAAGGCAGACUCUGGGUAAACCUUAUUAAGAUGGGAGAGUAAUGUGGUUGCUGCUGAAUUAGCAGCUGACAGCAGCAGAGGGUCUGUGCACUCAGAUCUUAUGGCUUUCAAAUCAGCCUUCACUAAAAAAUGGAUUUUUUUUGUCUGCUGUUCAGUACCAAUGUGCUAAUCCUCACUAUUUCCAUCAUAAGAAAAAUUUUAACUCCUAAUAAAGCUCCUAUGUUUUAGUAUAUAUAUAUAUAACAUCCUGUUAGUCUGUUUUUGAUGUACUUUAGAACCCAAAUGAGGCUAUGGCUGAGGAAAAUGAGCAUCUCCAUGAAGGUGAAAGAAGCUGAGUGGGCUGUGGCAACCCUCUGACCCUGACCAGGACAAAGUGGGUUUGAUGGAUGAGAGUCAAAGUAAAGCAAUUGGAGCCAUUUGGUUAAAGAAAAUCUGAUCAGACUUCUGUUUAUUUUGCAGCUAAAUGCAUUUUUUUAGCUGCUGCUCAUAUUGCAAUGCAAAGAAACCUACAGUAAUGUGAGAAGUCUUCAUUUUUAAAUCUCUUUUUAUUACAAUUAAUUUUCUUACAGAUGAAUUUUACAUUUUUUUUGCAUUUGCUAUUGAUGUUUUAAUAAACUUU
rnacentral:lncRNA from 1 species